GAUGAAGAACGUAGCGAAAUGCGAUAAGUAAUGUGAAUUGCAGAAUUCAGUGAAUCAUCGAAUCUUUGAACGCACAUUGCGCCCAUUAGUAUUCUAGUGGGCAUGCCUGUUCGAGCGUCAUUAAGUCCACUUAAGCCCUGCUUAGUGUUGGGAGACUGCUCCAGCGGUGCUACCCUGUAGCUACCCUGCAGCUCCUUAAAGACAGCGGCGGAGUUGUGGUAUCCUCUGAGCUUAGUAACUUGUUCUAGCUUUCGAGUACACCACUUCCCCUGCCGUAAAACCCUUAAUUUUUAAUGGUUGACCUCGGAUCAGGUAGGAAUACCCGCUGAACUUAAGCAUAUCAAUAAGCGGAGGA
rnacentral:misc_RNA from 1 species